GGGAGCGGGUGAAGUUUCACCUGCUCGACAUGUUUCCUUUUUCACCCCUCUUCCUCCCGCUCGACAUGUUUGCUUCUUCACCGCUCUUCCUCCCUCUGCUGCUCCUUCUCCCUCGCCGUAGCCUUCUCACCAUCGUACCAGAGGUGUCUGCCGGUUCCCUUUCUCCCUUUCUCUCUUGCUCGCCGCUCCGCUCCUCCGCUGGUUCGCCAACGCCACAGUCCCUGCUCUCAAGCCUCCCGUGAACGAAGUUUUACAGAGAGGAAGCCAGCCCCCAACUUAUCCUUUUUCACUUACCCGUCACAGAGCUACACCAGCGGUAUGCCCACCUACCCUUUGUGCUUGGAGAAGUGCUCAAUAAUUUAAUUACCCAAUAUUCAUUGUAAAGUAUGAAUUCUUUUAUUCUGUGUCUUUUUCCUAUUGAAAUUACUAAUUAUUCUGUUAUGUGCGCCUAUGAAGAAAAUUAUGGUAUCUUUUUCAUCUGUCCUAUAUUGUCCUUUUGUUGACAGAAAAUCAUUUGAACCGAGCAAAUUGUUACAUUUCAUACUUCAUUUGGAAUUAGAAUGAAAAAUUGAAAAUCUUAA